rnacentral:misc_RNA from 1 species
GAAAUUUCGAGGUGGGAAUACCAACCGCCAGUGAAAACAACUCAGGGAUUGAAAACAGGGCAAAUUUCCCAGCAAGAACAGCCAUAUCAUGUUCUUGGCCUAAAAGCUUAAGCAGUGGAGUUGCAAAAAUAUAAAUUGGCAACAAAAACAAUGUACUAAACAAUAGAAUAACCAUAGACCGUUGUGCGUAAAUCCCAAGCAUAUGUAUUUGCCCAGCACCAAAUGCCUGUCCACACAGCGUCUCCAG